AACGAACGCUGGCGGCAUGCCUAACACAUGCAAGUCGAACGAGACCUUCGGGGUUAGUGGCGCACGGGUGCGUAACGCGUGGGAACCUGCCCUUAGGUUCGGAAUAACUCCCCGAAAGGGGUGCUAAUACCGGAUAAUCUCUUCGGACCAAAGAUUUAUCGCCGUUGGAUGGGCCCGCGUUGGAUUAGCUAGUUGGUAGGGUAAAAGCCUACCAAGGCGACGAUCCAUAGCUGGUCUGAGAGGAUGAUCAGCCACACUGGGACUGAGACACGGCCCAGACUCCUACGGGAGGCAGCAGUGGGGAAUAUUGGACAAUGGGCGAAAGCCUGAUCCAGCCAUGCCGCGUGAGUGAUGAAGGCCUUAGGGUUGUAAAGCUCUUUUACCCGGGAUGAUAAUGACAGUACCGGGAGAAUAAGCUCUGGCUAACUCCGUG
rnacentral:rRNA from 1 species